GGUUUUAUCCAUAGAUUGUCCAUCGGGUGAUGGUAAUAAAACAGGAUUCGAGUUGGACUAUCUGUUGACGUGCUGGUUUUAUCCAUAGAUUGUCCAUCGGGUGAUGGUAAUAAAACAGGAUUCGAGUUGGACUAUCUGUUGACGUACUGGUUUUAUCCAUAGAUUGUCCAUCGGGUGAUGGUGAUAAAACAGGAUUCGAGUUGGACUAUCUGUUGUCGUGCUGGUAGGUUUUUAUUUAAUAGUUUUAUUUAGUAUCUCGGUAUAGGUUUUAUCGAGUGAUGGUAAUAAAACAGUGGUAAUAAACAGUGAUGUGAUGUAGUGUGAUUUGAGAAAUAAAAUAAA